rnacentral:lncRNA from 1 species
AUGCUCAAAAUUCUCCAAGCCAGGCUUCAGCAAUAUGUGAACCAUGAACUCCCAGAUAUUCAAAUUGGUUUUAGAAAAGGCAGAGGAACCAGAGAUCAAAUUGCCAACAUCCGCUGGAUCAUGGAAAAAGCAAGAGAGUUCCAGAAAAACAUCUAUUUCUGCUUUAUUGACUAUGCCAAAGCCUUUGACUCUGUGGAUCACAAUAAACUGUGGAAAAUUCUGAAAGAGAUGGGAAUAGCAGACCACCUAUCAUGCCUCUUGAGAAAUCUGUAUGCAGGUCAGGAAGCAACAGUUAGAACUGGACAUGGAACAGCAGACUGGUUCCAAAUAGGAAAAGGAGUAUGUCAAGGCUGUAUAUUGUCAACCUGCUUAUUUAACCUCUAUGCAGAGUACAUCAUGAGAAACGCUGGACUGGAAGAAACACAAGCUGUAAUCAAGAUUGCCAGGAGAAAUAUCAAUAACCUCAGAUAUGCAGAUGACACCACCCUUAUGGCAGAAAGUGAAGAGGAGCUAAAAAGCCUCUUGAUUAAAGUGAAAGAGGAGAGUGAAAAAGCUGGCUUAAAGCUCAACAUUCAGAAAACUAAGAUCAUGGCAUCCGGUCCCAUCACUUCAUGGGAAAUAGAUGGGGAAACAGUAGAAACAGUGUCAGACUUUAUUUUGGGGGGCUCCAAAAUCACUGCAGAUGGUGACUACAGCCAUGAAAUUAAAAGACGCUUACUCCUUGGAAGAAAAGUUAUGAUCAACCUAGAUAGCAUAUUCAAAAGCAGAGACAUUACUUUGCCAACUAAGAUCUGUCUAGCCAAGGCUAUGGUUUUUCCUGUGGUCAUGUAUGGAUGUGAGAGUUGGACUGUGAAGAAGGCUGAGUGCCGAAAAAUUGAUGCUUUUGAACUGUGUUGUUGGAAAAGACUCUUGAGAGUUCCUUGGACUGCAAGGAGAUCCAACCAGUCCAUUCUGAAGGAGAUCAACCCUGGAGUUUCCUUGGAAAGAAUGAUGCUAAAGCUGAAGCUCCAGUACUUCGGCACCUCAUGCAAAGAGUUGACUCAUUGGAAAAGACUCUGA